UACCUAUAACGUUGCCGUGGCGGAAGAGACAGCCCCCGGCACGGGCCGCCGGGCCGAGGCCGCCAGAGGACGUUCUAACACUGUUUCUAUAAUGUACCAUCUGAGUAUCAAGCUUUUAACUCCGGACUUUCGGCACCGGCUCUCUUGACUAAGCCAUCGAUGCAGAACGUAGCGUGAAGUGACAAGUUAUGGGAAUAGCAGAAUUUGAGGCCCAUGGACCCCCUGUACGCCGUGGCGCGCGCUGUAACUGGCUAGCCUGCCGCCCCGAGCGUCGUUUCGGAAUGAGGCAACCGCGCCCUGGCGUAAGCGCAUCCGCGGAAGCAUGCUGCGCGCCCAACGCUGUCCCCUAAUUAAGUAGACGGUCCCGCCGCAGCUUCAUUGCGUCGCGCCUACAACAUCGCAACUGGAGAGCGGCGCGGCCACGCGGUGAAGCACCCACUUACUGAAUGUUGACCUUCGAAUGAGGAGAGAAUACCCGCUGAACUUAGCAUUUCAAUAUAGCGAAGGAAAGU
rnacentral:rRNA from 1 species